CAUGUAAUUUAUUGGAUACGCUACUGAAAUUGAAAAACAGGAGGGUUUUAUGGGUACUUGAAGUACAGUUUCUACUGAAUGCAUAUUGCUUUUGUUCUAUCAUAAAGUUGAAAAAAUCCCAAGUCAAACCAUUGUAAGUCACAGACCAUGUGUAUAUGUUUUUUGGGUCCAAUUUUUUUCACUCAGCAUAUUUUUUGACACUCAUUCAUGAUUCUACAUAUAUUUUGUUCUGAGUACUAUCCCACUAUAUGGAUAUACCAUCAUUUAUUUUCCACUCUUCUGGGUACAGACAUCUGGGCUGUGUACAGUUUUGUACUUUUAGGAAUAAAGCUGCUUUGAAUACUUGUGUUCAAGUCUUUGUGUAGAUGUAUAUUUUUAAUUUCUCUUGAGUAAAUGCCUAGGAAUAUAUAGAAUUAUGUACGGUAUGGGAGGUGUACAACUAACUCUUUAAGAAACUGUCAAACUGUCUGUCAGUGUGGUUGCUACUAGUUUACAGUUCCACCAACAAUAUAUGAGACUUUUCACUAAUCCAUAUCCUCUGCAACAUUUGGUGUUGUCAUUUUCUUUUUGUUUUUUUGAGAUGGAGGCUCGCUUUGUCGUCCAGGCUGGAGUGCAGUGGCACGAUCACGGCUCACUGCAACCCCUGCCUCCCCGGUUCCGGCGAUUCUCAUGCCCCAGCCUCCGAAGCAGCUGGGAUUAUAGGCGCUCCCCACCACACUCGGCUAAUUUUUUUUUUUUGUAUUUUUAGUAGAGACAGAGUUUCACCAUGUUGGCCAGGCUGGUCUCCAACCCCUGAUCUCAAGUGACCCACCUUCCUCAGCCUCCCAAAGUGCUGGAAUUUUAGGGGUGAGGCACCGCACCUGGCCUUAUACAAUCCUUUUAAUAACAUUCUAAGUUCAAUUUGGCAGUGUUUUCUCUUUUUGUAAAUUUAAUUUUUUAAAAUAUUUAUUUAUUUAUUUUAUAAGAUGAUGUCUUGCUCUGUCACCCAGGCUGCAGUGCAGAGAUGCAAUCAUGGCCCACUGCAGCCUCAACUUCCCAGAUCCUUUCACCUCAGCCUCCCAAGUAGCUGGAACCACAGGCAUGUAACACCACACCCAGCUAAUUUUUGUAUUUUAGGUAGAGAUGGGGUUUCACUAUGUUGCCCAGGCUGGUCUUGAACUCUUGAGCUCAAGUGAUCCACCUGCCUUGGCCUCCCAAAGUGCUGGGAUUACCAGCAUGAGCCACUGUGACCAGCCAGUUUGGCAGUGUUUACUUAAGAAUUUUUUAUCAGGCCGGGCGCGAUGGCUCACUUUACCCAUAUUUUUUAUUUAUUUGUGAUUUAGUC
rnacentral:lncRNA from 1 species